GUAAAGCAGAGGACUG
rnacentral:tRNA from 1 species